rnacentral:lncRNA from 1 species
AUGGGGUUCAGUGAAAUGGUUCGUAAUGAUUCAGAUGACAUGUUCAACCCAUUUAUCUAAAUAAACGAGUCAUACAGGUUGGCGGGUCAUAAACCAAAACUACAUUCGCCAAAUAUAACAACAAUAAUUUACAAAUGUAAUCCGAACAAGUCCAAGAUCUUUCAUACAUUUCAGAAGACGCUUGAGCAAAAACCGACAAAUUAAACACAAUCUCCGUCAUUCCCGGUCUAUCUGCAGAUUUCUCCGACGUGCACGCUCUCGCUAACACUGCCAUAUUCAAAGCAGCAUCAAUCGCGUAAAAACCACCCAGAUUCGGAUCCAUCCACAACCUUAAACUCUCUUCUCGUUUAUCUUCGACAUCUAUUAUCUUCCUUAUCUCCUUCCAUGCCAUACAAAUCUCGCCCUCAUCUCUCGUUUCCAUCGCUUUCUUACCCGAAAGUAGUUCCAACAGAAUAACCCCGAACGCGAAAACAUCAACCUUUAACAUUAUGGAGCUUAUUGCCGGUCUUGCAGCCGAGAAGUUUCCGAUUUUGGCCUUGAAUUUGGAGUCUAGAAGUAUAUUACUUGUUCUAAGGUCCCUAUGCGCGAUACUUGGUUGACUGUGUUCGUGCAUGUAGUGAAGCCCGUUCGCUAUAUCUAACGCUAGAUUCAACCGUUGCGCCCACGAGAGGCUAACAUGAACCGAAGAACCUGAAGAGGAACAAGAUAAAGGCCUUGGAAACAACCAUUUGUCGAGUGAACCGUUUUCAGCAUACUCGUAAACCAGAAAACAACUCCCAUCGAAAUCCGAUGACAUUCCCAUUAGUUUUACUAAAUUCGUGUGGUUUACUCUUUGCUUCCAUGAUCUCGUUUCUGUUGUAGACGAUCGGUUUGCUUAAGUAGCCUGACACCCCUGCAAGCAGUUUAUCUUGACUGUUUUUCGCGGGUACAUUCGCUUCAUGUUUCAAAGCUUUUUUCGUGUAAAGAAAAUCAGUGAACUCGAAAGGAGACGACUCCUUUCGAGCCAAGAUGAUUUUAGUUUUAUGCGAACGAUAUUUGUAUAUCAGAAACCAUGACAGAACAAACAGAAAAAACGACCCGAAAGUUCCUAACACGAUAAACGUUAUCUGACCCUUUUUCGACCUUCGACUUUUAAAACCGGGUGGUGGGAAGAUCGGUAGUUUAGAAACUGGUAUAAGGACCGGAAGACACACUGCAGCGGUGAAGUUACGGAAACUAUUCUCGUUAACAAUAUCUGCAGGACACUUGCAUAGCAAAGGGAAAACCACUGGCUCACCAACUGUCAAAUUAGUUGGAUUUAAACUCGGGUUCAUAUCCUCAACCGCGUGAUAAUUGGUCAGAUUUUGAAACACAGACGUCGCGACAACAUAAAAGCUAUCACCCUUUUUAAUCGAAUGUGUAACAUUCGCGAAAUAACUAUUUUCGUUACAACUACAUUUAACG